rnacentral:rRNA from 1 species
GAUAAACGCUGGCGGCGUGCCUUAUACAUGCAAGUCGAGCGGUAAGGCCCCUUCGGGGGUACACGAGCGGCGGACGGCUGAGUAACACGUAGGAACGUACCCUAAAGUGAGGGAUAAGCAUCAGAAAUGGUGUCUAAUACCGCAUGUGACCCCUUUAAAGGUUAGAGCUUUAUGCGCUUUGGGAGCGGCCUGCGUAUGAUUAGUUUGUUGGUGAGGUAAUAGCUCACCAAGACUACGAUCAUUAGUUGGUCUGAGAGGAUGAUCAGCCAGACUGGGACUGAGAACGGCCCAGACUCCUACGGGAGGCAGCAGUAGGGAAUUUUCCACAAUGGGCGAAAGCCUGAUGGAGCAACGCCGCGUGCAGGAUGAAUGCCUUCGGGUUGUAAACUGCUUUUAUAUGUGACGAUUUUGACGGUAGCAUAUGAAUAAGGAUCGGCUAACUCCGUGCCAGCAGCCGCGGUCAUACGGAGGAUCCAAGCGUUAUCCGGAAUUACUGGGCGUAAAGAGUUGCGUAGGUGGCAUAGUAAGCAAGUAGUGAAAUGGAGUGGCUCAACCACUUCUCCAUUAUUUGAACUGCUAAGCUUGAGAUCAAGAGAGGUACCUGGAAUUCUCAGUGUAGGAGUGAAAUCCGUAGAUAUUGGGAAGAACACCGAUGGCGUAGGCAGGGUACUGGCUUGUUUCUGACACUAAGGCACGAAAGCGUAGGUAGCAAACGGGAUUAGAUACCCCGGUAGUCUACGCUGUAUACGAUGGAUGCUAGCUGUUAGAGGUAUCGACCCCACUAGUAGCGAAGCUAACGCGUUAAGCAUCCCGCCUGUGUAGUACGAUCGCAAGAUUAAAACGUAAAGGAAUUGACGGGGACCCGCACAAGCGGUGGGGCGUGCUGUUUAAUUCGAGACUAAACGAAGAACCUCACCCAGGUUUGACAUCCUGUGAAUUUUUCCGAAAGGAGAGAGUGCUUUAUUGAACACAGUGACAGGUGCUGCAUGGCCGUCGUUAGCUCGUGUCGUGAGAUGUAUGGUUAAGUCCAUCAACGAGCGCAACCCUUGUAGUUAGUUAUUUUUCUAGCUAAACUGCCCUGGUAACAGGGAGGAAGGAGGGGAUGACGUCAGGUCCGUAUUGCCCUUACGUCUGGGGCUACAGGCACGCUACAAUGGUCGGUACAAAGGGAAGCCAAGUCGCGAGACGGAGCAAAUCCCAUCAAAACCGAUCUCAGUUCGGAUAGCAGGCUGAAACUCGCCUGUUUGAAGCUGGAAUCGCUAGUAAUGGUAGGUCAGCUAUAC